GAGGAGCAGGAGGAGUUGGUGCUGGCUCUUCCACAUCUACAAGCACCACUUCCAGUACUAGCCCUCGACCACCAAGACUCGUCAAUGCUUCCCUUGCCAUCUCCACCAAAUCCGACUCCAACCCAUCUAAUCGAUCCGUCCCUCUCGCCGAUCCUUCCAA